rnacentral:rRNA from 1 species
GACGAACGCUGGCGGCGUGCUUAACACAUGCAAGUCGAACGGAAAGGCCCUGCUUUUGUGGGGUGCUCGAGUGGCGAACGGGUGAGUAACACGUGAGUAACCUGCCCUUGACUUUGGGAUAACUUCAGGAAACUGGGGUUAAUCUCGGAUAGGAGCUCCCGCUGCAUGGAGGGGGUUGGAACGUUUGGGCGGUUGGGGAUGGAUGCGCGGCUUAUCGGCUUGUUGGUGGGGGAGUGGCUUACCAAGGCUUUGACGGGUAGCCGGCCUGAGAGGGUGACCGGCCACAUUGGGACUGAGAUACGGCCCAGACUCCUACGGGAGACAGCAGUGGGGAAUAUUGCACAAUGGGCGGAAGUCUGAUGCAGCAACGCCGCGUGCGGGAUGACGGCCUUCGGGUUGUAAACCGCUUUCGCCUGUGACGAAGCGUGAGUGACGGUAAUGGGUAAAGAAGCACCGGCUAACUACGUG